GCAGUGAGUGGCCGAAUGGUUACGCUGUCCGCUUUGUAAGCGGAUGAUUCUGGGUUCGAUUCCCAUCUGCUCCA
rnacentral:tRNA from 1 species